rnacentral:tRNA from 1 species
GCGGACGUGGCGGAAUUGGCAGACGCGGCGGCUUCAGGAGCCGUUGGGAGCAAUCCCUUGAGAGUUCAACUCUCUCCGUCCGCA